UCGCCUACGGGACGCAGCAGUGGGGGAUAUUGCACAAUGGGGGAAACCCUGAUGCAGCGACGCCGCGUGAGUGAAGAAGUAUUUCGGUAUGUAAAGCUCUAUCAGCAGGGAAGAAAAUGACAGUACCUGACCAAGAAGCCCCGGCUAACUACGUGCCAGCAGCCGCGGUAAUACGUAGGGGACAAGCGUUAUCCGGAUUUACUGGGUGUAAAGGGCGUGUAGGCGGGCCUGCAAGUCAGAAGUGAAAUCUGGGGGCUUAACCCCUAAACUGCUUUUGAAACUGUGGGUCUUGAGUGAUGGAGAGG
rnacentral:rRNA from 1 species